rnacentral:rRNA from 1 species
ACAAUAACAUUGUUGAGGUAGAAAGGGUCAUACUGUGAACAUGCAUAAAUAUCAAGACAGGUUUCACGAAUUUCUUCUCUAUAAUCAUUUUCCAAUUCCUUUCCCCUUUCCUCUUUUAUGAUCUUCCUACGUCUAGCAUUAAUUUCAUUAUGAGAAACACGUAUCAUCCGCUGAAGUAGUGUUGGUGAGGAUAUUGGUAGAUACAGUGGAAAAAUUGGAUCUUUUAUAGCUGUAGAAUGUCGAUACAAUGAACAAUUCGAUGGAAAACUU